rnacentral:rRNA from 1 species
UACGAGUUGUGCAAACGUUAUUCGGAAUCACUGGGCUUAAAGGGUGCGUAGGCGGCUACGAAAGUCAGGUGUGAAAUCCCUCAGCUCAACCGAGGAACUGCGCUUGAAACUGUGUAGCUUGAGGGAGACAGAGGUGAGCGGAACUGAUGGUGGAGCGGUGAAAUGCGUUGAUAUCAUCAGGAACACCGGUGGCGAAAGCGGCUCACUGGGUCUUAUCUGACGCUGAGGCACGAAAGCCAGGGGAGCAAACGGG